CUACGGGGGGCUGCAGUGAGGAAUAUUGGUCAAUGGACGAAAGUCUGAACCAGCCAUGCCGCGUGCAGGAUGACUGCCCUAUGGGUUGUAAACUGCUUUUGUACAGGAAUAAACCCCCGGACGUGUCCGGGGCUGAAGGUACUGUAAGAAUAAGGAUCGGCUAACUCCGUGCCAGCAGCCGCGGUAAUACGGAGGAUCCAAGCGUUAUCCGGAUUCAUUGGGUUUAAAGGGUCCGCAGGCGGGGUAUUAAGUCAGUGGUGAAAGCCGGCAGCUCAACUGUCGAAUUGCCAUUGAUACUGGUACUCUUGAGUGUAGUUGAAGUAGGCGGAAUAAGUCAUGUAGCGGUGAAAUGCAUAGAUAUGACUUAGAACACCGAUUGCGAAGGCAGCUUACUAAGCUAUUACUGACGCUCAUGGACGAAAGCGUGGGGAGCGAACAGGAUUAGAUACCCCUGUAGUC
rnacentral:rRNA from 1 species